UAAGUAAGCUUUGAUCCAGAGAUUUCCGAAUGGGGAAACCCAGCAUGAGUUAUGUCAUGUUAUCGAUAUGUGAAUACAUAGCAUAUCAGAAGGCACACCCGGAGAACUGAAACAUCUUAGUACCCGGAGGAAGAGAAAGAAAAUUCGAUUCCCUUAGUAGCGGCGAGCGAAACGGGAAGAGCCCAAACCAACAAGCUUGCUUGUUGGGGUUGUAGGACACUCUAUACGGAGUUACAAAGGACGACAUUAGACGAAUCAUCUGGAAAGAUGAAUCAAAGAAGGUAAUAAUCCUGUAGUCGAAAAUGUUGUCUCUCUUGAGUGGAUCCUGAGUACGACGGAGCACGUGAAAUUCCGUCGGAAUCUGGGAGGACCAUCUCCUAAGGCUAAAUACUCUCUAGUGACCGAUAGUGAACCAGUACCGUGAGGGAAAGGUGAAAAGCACCCCGGAAGGGGAGUGAAAUAGAACCUGAAACCGUGUGCUUACAAGUAGUCAGAGCCCGUUAAUGGGUGAUGGCGUGCCUUUUGUAGAAUGAACCGGCGAGUUACGAUUUGAUGCAAGGUUAAGCAGUAAAUGUGGAGCCGUAGCGAAAGCGAGUCUGAAUAGGGCGUUUAGUAUUUGGUCGUAGACCCGAAACCAGGUGAUCUACCCUUGGUCAGGUUGAAGUUCAGGUAACACUGAAUGGAGGACCGAACCGACUUACGUUGAAAAGUGAGCGGAUGAACUGAGGGUAGCGGAGAAAUUCCAAUCGAACCUGGAGAUAGCUGGUUCUCUCCGAAAUAGCUUUAGGGCUAGCCUCAAGUGAUGAUUAUUGGAGGUAGAGCACUGUUUGGACGAGGGGCCCCUCUCGGGUUACCGAAUUCAGACAAACUCCGAAUGCCAAUUAAUUUAACUUGGGAGUCAGAACAUGGGUGAUAAGGUCCGUGUUCGAAAGGGAAACAGCCCAGACCACCAGCUAAGGUCCCAAAAUAUAUGUUAAGUGGAAAAGGAUGUGGCGUUGCCCAGACAACUAGGAUGUUGGCUUAGAAGCAGCCAUCAUUUAAAGAGUGCGUAAUAGCUCACUAGUCGAGUGACACUGCGCCGAAAAUGUACCGGGGCUAAACAUAUUACCGAAGCUGUGGAUUGUCCUUUGGACAAUGGUAGGAGAGCGUUCUAAGGGUGUUGAAGCAUGAUCGCAAGGACAUGUGGAGCGCUUAGAAGUGAGAAUGCCGGUGUGAGUAGCGAAAGACGGGUGAGAAUCCCGUCCACCGAUUGACUAAGGUUUCCAGAGGAAGGCUCGUCCGCUCUGGGUUAGUCGGGUCCUAAGCUGAGGCCGACAGGCGUAGGCGAUGGAUAACAGGUUGAUAUUCCUGUACCACCUAUAAUCGUUUUAAUCGAUGGGGGGACGCAGUAGGAUAGGCGAAGCGUGCGAUUGGAUUGCACGUCUAAGCAGUAAGGCUGAGUAUUAGGCAAAUCCGGUACUCGUUAAGGCUGAGCUGUGAUGGGGAGAAGACAUUGUGUCUUCGAGUCGUUGAUUUCACACUGCCGAGAAAAGCCUCUAGAUAGAAAAUAGGUGCCCGUACCGCAAACCGACACAGGUAGUCAAGAUGAGAAUUCUAAGGUGAGCGAGCGAACUCUCGUUAAGGAACUCGGCAAAAUGACCCCGUAACUUCGGGAGAAGGGGUGCUCUUUAGGGUUAACGCCCAGAAGAGCCGCAGUGAAUAGGCCCAAGCGACUGUUUAUCAAAAACACAGGUCUCUGCUAAACCGUAAGGUGAUGUAUAGGGGCUGACGCCUGCCCGGUGCUGGAAGGUUAAGAGGAGUGGUUAGCUUCUGCGAAGCUACGAAUCGAAGCCCCAGUAAACGGCGGCCGUAACUAUAACGGUCCUAAGGUAGCGAAAUUCCUUGUCGGGUAAGUUCCGACCCGCACGAAAGGCGUAACGAUUUGGGCACUGUCUCAACGAGAGACUCGGUGAAAUCAUAGUACCUGUGAAGAUGCAGGUUACCCGCGACAGGACGGAAAGACCCCGUGGAGCUUUACUGUAGCCUGAUAUUGAAAUUCGGCACAGCUUGUACAGGAUAGGUAGGAGCCUUUGAAACGUGAGCGCUAGCUUACGUGGAGGCGCUGGUGGGAUACUACCCUAGCUGUGUUGGCUUUCUAACCCGCACCACUUAUCGUGGUGGGAGACAGUGUCAGGCGGGCAGUUUGACUGGGGCGGUCGCCUCCUAAAAGGUAACGGAGG
rnacentral:rRNA from 1 species